CUCAAUGACAAGAUCAAAAUAAAAGCAAUUAUACAGCGAAACUGCGAAUGGCUCAUUAUAUAAGUUAUCGUUUAUUUGAUAGUACCUUACUACUUGGAUAACCGUGGUAAUUCUAGAGCUAAUACAUGCUAAAAAUCCCGACUUCGGAAGGGAUGUAUUUAUUAGAUUAAAAACCAAUGCCCUCCGGGGCUCACUGGUGAUUCAUGAUAACUCCUCGAAUCGCAUGGCCUUGCGCCGGCGAUGGUUCAUUCAAAUUUCUUCCCUAUCAACUUUCGAUGUUUGGGUAUUGGCCAAACAUGGUUGCAACGGGUAACGGAGGGUUAGGGCUCGACCCCGGAGAAGGAGCCUGAGAAACGGCUACUACAUCCAAGGAAGGCAGCAGGCGCGCAAAUUACCCAAUCCCGACACGGGGAGGUAGUGACAAUAAAUACUGAUACAGGGCUCUUUUGGGUCUUGUAAUUGGAAUGAGUACAAUUUAAAUCCCUUAACGAGGAACAAUUGGAGGGCAAGUCUGGUGCCAGCAGCCGCGGUAAUUCCAGCUCCAAUAGCGUAUAUUAAAGUUGUUGUGGUUAAAAAGCUCGUAGUUGAACCUUGGGCCUGGCUGGCCGGUCCGCCUCACCGCGUGUACUGGUCCGGCCGGGCCUUUCCCUCUGUGGAACCCCAUGCCCUUCACUGGGCGUGGCGGGGAAACAGGACUUUUACUGUGAAAAAAUUAGAGUGCUCCAGGCAGGCCUAUGCUCGAAUACAUUAGCAUGGAAUAAUAGAAUAGGACGUGUGGUUCUAUUUUGUUGGUUUCUAGGACCGCCGUAAUGAUUAAUAGGGACAGUCGGGGGCAUCAGUAUUCAAUUGUCAGAGGUGAAAUUCUUGGAUUUAUUGAAGACUAACUACUGCGAAAGCAUUUGCCAAGGAUGUUUUCAUUAAUCAGGAACGAAAGUUAGGGGAUCGAAGACGAUCAGAUACCGUCGUAGUCUUAACCAUAAACUAUGCCGACUAGGGAUCGGACGGUGUUAUUUUUUGACCCGUUCGGCACCUUACGAGAAAUCAAAGUGCUGGGCUCCAGGGGGAGAAUGGUCAACCG
rnacentral:rRNA from 1 species